CGCUGAACUUAAGCAUAUCAAUAAGCGGAGGAAAAGAAACCAACAGGGAUUGCCUCAGUAACGGCGAGUGAAGCGGCAACAGCUCAAAUUUGAAAUCUGGUUCCCCUGGGGACCCGAGUUGUAAUUUGUAGAGGAUGUCUUCGGGCUUGGCCCCGGCCUAAGUUCCUUGGAACAGGACGUCACAGAGGGUGAGAAUCCCGUAUGUGGCUGGAGGUCUAUGCCCAUGUGAAGCUCCUUCGACGAGUCGAGUUGUUUGGGAAUGCAGCUCAAAAUGGGUGGUAAGUUUCAUCUAAAGCUAAAUAUUGGCGGGAGACCGAUAGCGCACAAGUAGAGUGAUCGAAAGAUGAAAAGCACUUUGGAAAGAGAGUUAAAAAGUACGUGAAAUUGUUGAAAGGGAAGCGCUUGCGAUCAGACUUGCCCCCAGUUGAUCAAGCGGUGUUCUUCACCGGUGCACUCGGCUGGGGUCAGGCCAGCAUCGGUUUGGGCGGCUGGAGAAAGGCUGCAGGAAUGUGGCUCUCUUCGGGGAGUGUUAUAGCCUGCGGCGGCAUGCAGCCAGCCUGGACCGAGGACCGCGCCCCUAGGGCUAGGAUGCUGGCGUAAUGGUCGUAAGCGACCCGUCUUGAAACACGGACC
rnacentral:rRNA from 1 species